UACGUAUGUCCCGAGCGUUAUCCGGAUUUAUUGGGCGUAAAGCGAGCGCAGACGGUUGAUUAAGUCUGAUGUGAAAGCCCGGAGCUCAACUCCGGAAUGGCAUUGGAAACUGGUUAACUUGAGUGUUGUAGAGGUAAGUGGAACUCCUUGUGUAGCGGUGGAAUGCGUAGAUAUAUGGAAGAACACCAGUGGCGAAGGCGGCUUACUGGACAACAACUGACGUUGAGGCUCGAAAGUGUGGGUAGCAAACAGG
rnacentral:rRNA from 1 species